GGCAGUGGAGAAGGAGUCCAAGGUGGAAGGAACUCCUGCCGUUGCAGUGGAGAAGGAGUCCAAGGUGGAAGGAACUCCUGCGGCGGCUGAGCAGGACCAAGGAAUUGGGAGCGAGGAGAAGACGGAGCAGUCGUCAUCAGACAGUGCCGUCUCUACCAGCGAGUCUGCGGAGACGGUGACCGCAGAGGCGAAAUCUACAGAUCCAAAUCAAGGAGCGGCCUGAGGGGGCGAACGCAAGAGGCCUUGAGUGAGUGAUGAAGCGGAGGAGAAAGAGCAUGUCUGGAUGUGUGUGUGUGUGUGUGUGUGUGUGUGUGUGUGUGUGUGUGUUUGUGAGUAUGUGUGAGAGAGCGAGAGAGAAAGCGAGAUCGCCCCGAGGGAUGUACAAUAUUGGUGGCCUUUACCGGGAGUGUAUGACUGUGUGUAAGUGUGUGCGUGUGUGUCAUGACAGCAGAUGUGAUUGUAAUGGGAUCGCUGGACAGACUCAGACCCACACGGUCUAACCCCCCCACCCCAACCCAACCCAGUCACCACCAGCCUCCAUCUCCAUCUCCAGCUGAAACUGGGAAGGGGGUCUCCCCUCCGAGUCUGCUGGGGAGCGUGGGGAGACAAAGGGGGGACUAAGGCUAUGCGUUUGGGAUGGAGAGAGCAAAAGAGACAGACAGAAAGAAAGAAAACUACACAGGAAAGAAGAGGAGCAUCGUUUGGACUGUACAGAUGUGGACCAUAGAGUUUUAGGUGUUGUGUUAAGGGAGAAUCUGUUCCUAGGAGACAUAGUUAUGGGGGUACGUGAUGUCAACUGCACAGCUCUCAUUGAGCUUUUCUGUUUUGUGAUUUUUUUUAAUUAUUUUUUUUUAAACCAUGACUGAAAAGGGCCGCCGAGGACACACGUAUUCAUAUUUCGUACGGUUUUAGCACUGGACUAUGGCACAUCCUUAAUGGUUGCGUUUUUCCUGGAUUUUUUUUUUUUUUUCAUAAGAAAAUAAAACAUCUGUAAUAAAAAAGAAAAACCAUCACAGCUGUAAGUGUCAAAAACCAUCUUAUCGGUUCAUAAAACGAACGUACCUAGGCUUGUAUCAUUUUUACAGAUAUUAUUUGCAGAAUAAAAAGGUUAGUGUGAA